UUAAACAACCAAUCUUAAAAGUACUUUUAAGAUCGGUUAAAUUUUAACCGAUCUUAAAAGUGCUACUUUUAAAAUCGGUUAUUUAG
rnacentral:miRNA from 1 species